rnacentral:rRNA from 1 species
UACGGGGGGGGCAAGCGUUGUUCGGAAUUACUGGGCGUAAAGGGCUCGUAGGUGGCCAACUAAGUCAGACGUGAAAUCCCUCGGCUUAACCGGGGAACUGCGUCUGAUACUGGAUGGCUUGAGAUUGGGAGAGGGAUGCGGAAUUCCAGGUGUAGCGGUGAAAUGCGUAGAUAUCUGGAGGAACGCCGGUGGCAAAAGCGGCGGACUGGGCACCUUCUGACGCUGAGGCGCGAAAGCCAGGGGAGCAAACGGG